UACAGAGGUGGCAAGCGUUGUUCGGAAUUACUGGGCGUAAGGGGCGCGUAGGCGGCCUUCUAAGUCGGACGUGAAAGCCCCAGGCUUAACCUGGGAACUGCGUCCGAUACUGGGAGGCUUGGAUUCGGGAGAGGGAUGUGGAAUUCCAGGUGUAGCGGUGAAAUGCGUAGAUAUCGGGAGGAACACCGGUGGCGAAGGCGGCCCCGGUUGGAUCACGUGACGCUGAGACGCGAAAGCGUGGGGAGCGAACAGG
rnacentral:rRNA from 1 species